rnacentral:lncRNA from 1 species
CCUCUGGGAACAUCCACGUGGGUCCCCUGAGUAUUUUAGGGGCUGCUGAGCUUGGGAGCCUGGUGGUACCUGCGAGUGGGUGCUGUCCGAUUGGCUGGCUGAUCAUCCCCCCCAUCCCUCUCAGCCAAUCCUGGGGGAGGGGGUGUGGCCAGGACACAAGCACCCUAGGGGAGAUUGUCAGAUAGCAGCCAGUGUGCAUGGUCCAGUCCUGACCCAGUUUACCCAGUUUCUCAGUCCCAGGGCCUUGGAUGUGGGUUUCCCCUGGUCCCUGCGGGUCACCUGCUUCUGUUCAGCUCUUGUUGGUUAGUGUCUGGUGUUUGAUCGUCUGCUUUGGGUUGGGUGUCCAAACACAGGUGGGGGCUGGGGCUUCAGCACAGGUCAGAGGCCCCCCCCCGGGUGUUUCUCGGCUUUUCAGCUCCUACCUGGGGCACUAGAGAGCCCUCUGCCUGCCUUGUUAGACUCUCACACAUGUGGGGGUUACACACGUGGGGGUUGCACGCGCGGCCAUCCUGGGUUUCUCGCCCUCCUCUUGUGAGUUACAUUGAGUCAAAAGGGUUCCCUCCCCCUCCCUGCCCAGGGGGCGGGAGGAUGUAUGUUUCAGCGGGUUGUGAGUGACAUCAGUUCGGCUGGCCCUACUCUGCAGAGUCAGAGUGCCCACGACGGUGCCCCGUGUGAGAGGAGUACGAGGGUCCUGCUGGGCCAGCUUCCUGACGGACCCGACAGACCAGACAGAGGCGGUCAGGCUCUCCCCUUCUGGAAACAGCGGUAGGACUGGGAGAGCCGGCCCAGGGUGGAUUUGGGGCUUCCCGCAUCCCCCCUGGGGUGGGGGCACAUUUGGCAGAAGAGAGGCCAUGUGGUUGUGUAGAUAGGGCCUCUCUUAGAGCCUGUUCUGGGAUUGAAUCCUGGCUGUGUGACGUGGCCAAGUUACACGCCUUCUCUGAGCCUCCUGUGUGUCGUGUCCUGUCUAAAGUGAGGCUAACAGAUGUGCCUGGCAAUUGUGGGAAGGACGCAGCUUCUUGAGCGCACCUCGCACAGUGCUUAGCAUUCAGCAGGUGCUUAGUCAGGGCCCGUUGUUCAGCCGGGCUGGACCCAGCUGUGGUGAUUGGAAAGACAGGAGGUUGUGCAGGUGACAAAACCUUCUAGCAGUCAGUUAAUUUUGCUGAUUUGGACGGAGGGGCCACAGGGCGCCGUCUGGGCUUCCAGGCCCUGAAAGGUCAGUCGUGCCGUCAUCGUCCCUUCUCUGCAGACCCCCCACCCCACCCCCACUCCCUGGAGAACUGCUGCAUUACUGUCCCAGUCCAUUCAAGACAGCGUCAAGGAUGCUGGAAGUGUUUCAGGAUGCGGAGUGGGGGAGCAUCGGUGGUGGGGAGAGCUGGGAGAUGCUUCGUAGAGGAAGGGACCGUGACGUGGGCCUUGGAAAGCGAACAGGAACGAAUCGGGGUGAGGAGAAGGGCUCACCCUCCAGGGCAGGCACACGUCUUGGGGUUUCAUUUCUUAUUAUGGGUGGCUGUGUGCCUUCCUGUCCCUCCAUCUCUCGUGGCGCCUGUGUCAUUGGGAAUUCAUCUGGGGGUCCUGCGGCCAUGCAUCCUUAAGGAAGGUGCUGCAGGUGGGAGAAGAGGGUAGAGGGAAGGGUGCGGGGGAAUCUCCCAGGUUCCCCGUGGCUGAAAAGAGAGCAAACUUCAAACUUCAAAGCCUAGGGCAUGUCAAAAGUGUGUCACACCCACUGAGCGAUUUUGACACAACUAACCCCGUUUGGGGCUCAGCCACAAAACAGUUGCUGUGCUUUGGAGAGGUUUGUUUGUUUUGUUUGUUUGUUUGUUUUGCAAAUGGGGUAGGUUGAGAAGCGUCUGCCAGGGCCCUGGGCUGCUGGGCUGCGUUGGUGUUAAGAUGGGGUGGGGGGUGCGGGCCGUUGGCACCUUCUUUCUUCAGACUCUGUUUUUCUUUGUUCUAGUCCGUGUUUUAUUACUGAUAUGAAUCACCGAGGGGCUUGGAGGGAGAGAGGAAAGGGUUUCCGUAUAAACAGCUGUCUUGCUGAUUCAAUCUACAAAGUGGAUUUUAGAGCGAAAGUAUUUGUUCUUGCUUUAAAAUGCCAACAUAGCACCGUCAUUUCCUCAGCUAAAAGAGGGGGCUUGGAGAAUAUGGGGCCUUCUCUCAUCACAGACUUCUGUGAUGGAGAGGGAAUUCCGAAGAACUUUUCUUUGAACCAGUUUUUGAGAUAAUCUCUUGCUCGGAGGAGAGAGAUUUUCUUUGCAAAGUUUGAGUUGCUGGUUCCCGUACCUUCCUCUUUUUGCCCUUCCCCAAAGUCUGGUUAAAAAAAAAAAAAAAAAAAA